rnacentral:rRNA from 1 species
CCCCUAGAUGUUCUGGGCCGCACGCGCGCUACACUGAACAGUUCAACAAGUCUUAACCUUGGCCGAUAGGUCUGGGUAAUCUUUGAACGCUGUUCGUGAUUGGGAUAGACCUUUGCAAUUAUGGGUCUUCAACGAGGAAUUCCCAGUAAGUGCAAGUCAUAAGCUUGCGCUGACUACGUCCCUGCCCUUUGUACACACCGCCCGUCGCUACUACCGAUUGAAUGAUUUAGUGAGGACUUCGGACUGGGACCGAUGCGGCUUUCGGGCUGCGUCGGUAUUCUGGAAAGAUGUCCAAACUGUAUCAUUUAGAGGAAGUAAAAGUCGUAACA